ACAAAACGCCGAAUCGUAGUGAUACGAGCGGGGGAACCAAAGUGGGGUUAAUUUCUUCGGAAUAGGGUAUCUCGACCCGCACCCGGCAGCUAACCUCGUAGGCGAAUCGAGAGGAU
rnacentral:sRNA from 1 species